rnacentral:rRNA from 1 species
GAUGAACGCUGGCGGCGUGCCUAAUACAUGCAAGUCGAGCGAACAGAUGAGGAGCUUGCUCCUCUGACGUUAGCGGCGGACGGGUGAGUAACACGUGGAUAACCUACCUAUAAGACUGGGAUAACUUCGGGAAACCGGAGCUAAUACCGGAUAAUAUAUUGAACCGCAUGGUUCAAUAGUGAAAGACGGUUUUGCUGUCGCUAUAGAUGGAUCCGCGCCGCAUUAGCUAGUUGGUAAGGUAACGGCUUACCAAGGCAACGAUGCGUAGCCGACCUGAGAGGGUGAUCGGCCACACUGGAACUGAGACACGGUCCAGACUCCUACGGGAGGCAGCAGUAGGGAAUCUUCCGCAAUGGGCGAAAGCCUGACGGAGCAACGCCGCGUGAGUGAUGAAGGUCUUCAGAUCGUAAAACUCUGUUAUUGGGGAAGAACAAAUGUGUAAGUAACUAUGCACGUCUUGACGGUACCUAAUCAGAAAGCCACGGCUAACUACGUG